rnacentral:rRNA from 1 species
GCAAGUGGUGCGACGAACCAGGGCUUGCCCUGGGGCCAAGCCGCGAACGGGUGAGUAACACGUGAGUAACCUGCCCCGAUGACCGGGACAACCCGAGGAAACUCGGGCUAAUACCGGAUGUGGCGCACAGGUGUAAGCCUGUUCGCUAAAGGAAGCUUCGGCCUCCGCAUUGGGAGGGGCUCGCGGCCCAUUAGCUUGUUGGUGGGGUAACGGCCUACCAAGGCUGCGAUGGGUAGCUGGUCUGAGAGGACGAUC